UCUACUGAUUUGAUUCCAUCAAUCUUGAAUGUUGUCCUUCAGAUUCCCUCUAGGGUACUCGUAAGAACACAAUAAAGAUUCACCAUACAUCUCCAGAAGGAAAACUUUGAAUUUAACAGGAUCGAUCUGCUGUAUGAAGCAUUGAUGUUCCAACAAAUGCACCUUUUCGCGACAGACGUGACACUUGCCAUAAUGACAUCGAUGGGGUUUUUUCAGUUCAGAUGUAACUAUCUCUUAACAACAGAGUGGACAACGAAUGAGAGUCUGACGAAUCUGAUGCCUCCUCUACGAUGCUCAACACGCUUUGCUCGACAAGUUGUGGAAGUCGAUGGAACAUCUUACGCGUGUUUUCUAUACCUGAUCAUGAUUGACUUGUCCAUGAGAGGUGCUACGGUCACUCCCUGCUCUCAUCGACGCAUCCAUCGUUCGUGUUUUCGUCGUCUUAGAACCACCUCAGACCAAUGUGGACAUUGUCGAGCACCCUUUGCUGUUCCUGCUGCUGCUGCCAUUCCCAACGAGGACGUGACGAAUAGGGAACAACAACGCCAACAAGCCAUACGGGAUUUGGAAGCCUUGUUGGAACCGGGAGCCAUCAAGGAACGGAUUACCAAUGUAAGAAGUGAUUCUAAUGCAGAUACUUUUAUGAAUUGUGAAACUUAUUAGGAUAUGUUUAGGUAUAUUUCAACAUGCAAUUUUUUUCAGUGGUAUUAUCCCACUUUUUGUUGUGGAAGGUGUCAUUAUGACUUCUAUUAUUUUCUGGUUCGUCAUUCCAAUGACGAUUUUACGAUACAGAGAUAUGACGCAUGUGAGUUACUUUGCCCAAAAGUGAUUAUGUGACUUUUUUCAAUUUUUAGCAUUGUAGAAUAUUUCCCCACCAUGAUGCUGGUUUGGACAAAACGUGGGGUAGGCCAGGGCCAAAGCCAUGGUGUAGGCCAUGGCCUACCCUAUGGCCUACCCUAUGGCCUACCGGUGGUCAGAUUUUUAAAAACAUAAAAAUGAAAUCAGUAAGAGUCGAACAAAUACGCUGGCGUACAAUUCUAUGUCUCUAAAAAGGGUAUAUUAAGAGGUCGCUAGCAUGAUUUUCAACGUUCGAGAGAACGAAACAUUUGAUGCAGAUAUUACAGCACUCACCCAAGCGCUCAACCAUAACGUUAGGUUUAAGGGGGAGGGGAGAGAAGGGGCCAAUAUUGCCUGGUCGCAGAGGACUUGUAAAAUGGCGGCUUCACAACACAGGCGGUCAGUUGGUAACAUAUCGUGGAGUGCUAGUGUAAAAAUGCAAUGAACGGCGUUAUAUCGGCGAACAUAUCCAGGAACUGGUCAAAAACUAUAAUGGAUGGGCUGCAGCAGAGAUGGGGUGACAUCCCUGGAAGACGAUCAGCCCGUACAAAAGUGCCAGUGGAGCUGUUCUCUUUUCUGGAUUUUGGUCCAACAGGAUCAUCUGAGACAGACCUGUGAAUACCAUUGGACAAAGGGUUUGGAUUUCUUUUAUGAUCUCCGAAAAAUUUCGCUUUCUCAAGCCAAGAUAUCCCCUUGAUCUAAGAACCAAGUUCGUCCCUCUUCUUGUCACUUCCACUAACUCUCUGUCAACUUGGUUCCUAAGGCUUGACAGCAUCUCAGUUCCAGAAUCUGUCUUACUAGUGCUUGUUGUCUACAUAAAAUUUUUGUCCAGGUAAAGGUUAUUAUAAAAAAAUAUCUCCAGCAGCUGUAGGUUAUUUGUGAUUAAAUGAACACUGGCACAUCAAACUAUGUAAACAAAGGAAAGUGAACAAGUAUGCGCAUGCAUGCAAUUGUGUACACGUGCAUAUUUUUCCUCUUCUCAAGAAAAUAGGUACUAGAAAAAAGAUUGCGGUUAAACGAGCACGAAAAAAAUAUGUGUACAAAUUCAUCUGGUCUUGGAAUGAGGAAGAGGAAUGUUAUGUUGUUCUGUCAAAAAAUAAAGUUUUUAAGGAAAGACAUAAUAUUAGUGAGGGCAUGUUUUUGCAUCCAUUGUAGGAUCCUGUGAAAUGGCAUUAUUUUG